rnacentral:rRNA from 1 species
CCUACGGGGGGCAGCAGUGGGGAAUCUUCCGCAAUGGGCGAAAGCCUGACGGAGCAACGCCGCGUGAUCGAAUGAAGGCCUUCGGGUUGUAAAGAUCUGUUGACAGGGACGAAUAAGCAAUGCAAAUAGUUUUGUGUAUGACGGUACCUGUUUAGAAAGCUCCGGCUAACUACGUGCCAGCAGCCGCGGUAAUACGUAGGGAGCAAGCGUUGUCCGGAAUUACUGGGCGUAAAGGGAGCGUAGGCGGGAAGCCAAGUCAGCUGUGAAAACUACGGGCUUAACCUGUAGACUGCAGUUGAAACUGGCUUUCUUGAGUGAAGUAGAGGUUGGCGGAAUUCCGAGUGUAGCGGUGAAAUGCGUAGAUAUUCGGAGGAACACCGGUGGCGAAGGCGGCCAACUGGGCUUUAACUGACGCUGAGGCUCGAAAGUGUGGGGAGCAAACAGGAUUAGAUACCCGGGUAGUC